UACAGAGGGGGCAAGCGUUGUUCGGAAUUACUGGGCGUAAAGGGCGCGUAGGCGGCCUUCUAAGUCGAACGUGAAAUCCCCGGGCUCAACCCGGGAACUGCGUCCGAUACUGGAGGGCUUGAAUCCGGGAGAGGGAUGUGGAAUUCCAGGUGUAGCGGUGAAAUGCGUAGAUAUCUGGAGGAACACCGGUGGCGAAGGCGACAUCCUGGACCGGUAUGACGCUGAGGCGCGAAAGCCGGGAGGCAAAGCGGG
rnacentral:rRNA from 1 species